rnacentral:rRNA from 1 species
GGGCCCGCACAAGCGGUGGAGCAUGUGGUUUAAUUCGAUGCAACGCGAAGAACCUUACCAAGGCUUGACAUACUACAGAUCUCUUUGAGAAAGGAGAGUGCCUUCGGGAAUGUAGAUACAGGUGGUGCAUGGCUGUCGUCAGCUCGUGUCGUGAGAUGUUGGGUUAAGUCCCGCAACGAGCGCAACCCUUAUUUUUAGUUACCAAUUUUUUUGGGUUUCUAGAGAGACUGCCGGUGACAAACCGGAGGAAGGUGAGGAUGACGUCAAGUCAGCAUGCCCCUUAUGCCUUGGGCUACACACGUGCUACAAUGGCUAAGACAAAGAGUUGCGAACUUGCGAAAGUCAGCUAAUCUCAUAAACUUAGCCUAAGUUCGGAUUGUAGGCUGCAACUCGCCUGCAUGAAGUCGGAAUCGCUAGUAAUCG